rnacentral:misc_RNA from 1 species
AACCUUAUGGACCUGCGGGCGUAUACCUGCGGAGGGAUCAUUACCUAGAGUUGUAGGCUUUGCCUGCUAUCUCUUACCCAUGUCUUUUGAGUACCUUACGUUUCCUCGGUGGGUUCGCCCGCCGGUUGGACAAAACUUAAACCCUUUGUAGUUGCAAUCAGCGUCUGAAAAAACUUAAUAGUUACAACUUUUAGCAAUGGAUCU